CACGCAGUAAACGAUGAUUACUAGUUGUUUGCGAUACAAUGUAAGCGACUGAGCGAAAGCGUUAAGUAAUCCACCUGGGGAGUACGUUCGCAAGAAUGAAACUCAAAGGAAUUGACGGGGGCCCGCACAAGCGGAGGAACAUGUGGUUUAAUUCGAUGAUACGCGAGGAACCUUACCCGGGCUUGAAAUGCAUCCGACCGGCGCCGAGAAGCGCCUUCCCUUCGGGGCGGAUGUGUAGGUGC
rnacentral:rRNA from 2 species